rnacentral:rRNA from 2 species
UGGCUCAGAACGAACGCUGGCGGCAGGCCUAACACAUGCAAGUCGAGCGGCCGUAGCAAUACGGCAGCGGCAGACGGGAGAGUAACACGUGGGAACGCGCCCUUCGGUCCGGGAUAACCCAGGGAAACUUGGGCUAAUACCGGAUACGUCCGUAAGGAGAAAGAUUUAUCGCUGAAGGAUCGGCCCGCGUCUGAUUAGCUAGUUGGUGGGGUAAUGGCCCACCAAGGCGACGAUCAGUAGCUGGUCUGAGAGGAUGAUCAGCCUCACUGGGACUGAGACACGGCCCAGAGUCCUACGGGAGGCAGCAGUGGG